GUGAGACCCACCUUAAUUUAAACCAAUAAUAAAAUGAGUGUUUAGGAGAGUGUUGCUAGCAUUACUCGUAAUGUAAUAGAUAGACUAAUAUCCUAUAAUAGGAUGAGGAAGUUGUAACAUAGUCAAAAUGACAACAAAACAACUCGUAAAAAUCCUUUUGAAACUCAUGAGUGGCCGGACUAACCAUGGAGGCAUGUACAUUUCACAAAUGCACAAUAUCCUCCUUCCCUUUUCUCUCUUCUUGUGCUCACAUUAUAAAUAUUAUUUCCUCCUUUCGAUAAUACUUGUCCAUUUUGAAGAAUAAUUUUGUUUCACAAUACUUGUCACUUUCAGGUUUCAAUGCAACAUUAAUUAUUGUCUUGUCAAUAAUACCCUUACAUAUUUAUUGUAGAGAAAAAAAUAUAAUGAAAUAAUAAAUUGUUAAGGGUAUCAUAUAAAACACACAUAAUUUCAUCAAAAAUAACAAAAUUUAUUUAAUUUCUUGAUUGUUGCAAUUUCUUCAAAAUGGACAUAUAUUUUGAAAUGGAGGGAGUAAUUUGUAAUGUAAAGUUGUGGAAUCCAACAUACACCAUUCGAUCAUUAUUAUAAGUAAAAAUUGAUAUAUAUAUAUAUAUAUAUAUAUAUAUAUAUAUAUAUAUAUUUUAGAUUCAUUCAUUAAUUGAUGUAUGUGAUCAAUAAUAAAGACCUUAUAUAUCAUUAAUUGAAUUAAUUUAAAAUGUAGAUUUUUACUUAUAAGUUUGAGGAGGGUAUACGUUUGAGAAUUGUUGUUCCCACAUGUGAUAAGGUUGUGCCACACUAGUAAAAUACGAUUUUACCCCCUCGGCAGUUAACUACCGAGGAAUUUGAAUUCCGGCGGUUUGACAUCUUCAUCAACUUCAUUUCCACCUCCAUUCAAUCCCAAAAUCCAAUUUUUUUUUAAUCAAUUCUUGAUCCAAAAUCAUUCAAGCAUCAAGCAUAGGAGGUAUCAAUACACUUUUGACGUAAAAAAACAGGUAUAGUGCAUUUUAUUCGAUUGAUUUUUUUGGGUAUUUUACGGGUAUCUACGUCAGUUACGUAGAACCCUGUCAUGGGAAUCCUCGGCAGUUAACUGCCGAGGAAAACUUCGGUAGUAAAGUGCCGAGGAAAACCUCGGUAGUAAGGUGCCGAGGAACUCUUGUGAAAAAUUUUCACAAGGAAAAAAUGGCAGCUACUGCCAGUUUUUCAAUUUUUUUUUCUUUUAUUUUUUUUGUUUUUUUUUUGUUUUAAUUCAUUAUAGCAUUGUUGUUUAUACAUUAGUUAGUUGUUAAUUCAUAUUUAUGUGUUGUUUAAUUAUAGUAAUGGUAGAGAACGCGAAAGAUGUUCCGGGAGAGACAAAACAAAAUUUUGUCGAAAAUUCCGGAGAUGUCAAACCGCCUAAGGUUGAAGCGAAACCAAACAUUGAUGGAACUUUCGUCCAUGUUGAAGCUUCAAAGUAUGUUGGCGGCUUCGGUGUCCUCCCACUUCAAGCCCACGAGGUCGACACGGCUAGGUUUUUUUCAGACGACGUUAAGUCGAAAGAUAGAGAUGAAUUGCUUGAGUGGGUGCGUCUUCAAGCAAAUAAGUCGGGAUUUACAAUUGUCACACAAAGAUCAAGCUUGAUCAAUCCAAUGUUCCAGCUAGUGUGUGAAAGGAGUGUGAUGAGAUAAAACCGCAAGUGCACGGUCUUAACGAAGUAGUAUAAAAGAGUAUCGUUCCGACAGGGAGUAGUUCAAUUUAAUUAACCUUUAGAGAUGAUUAGAAGAGAGAAGAGAAUUGUAAGUUGGGGGUUUUUAAGCGGUUGAAAANUUGUUUUUCGCGUUGCAUUCUUCUUAUGUCCAUCUAUUUUCUGUUUCGUCUGCUUAUUGGGACCCCUUCAUUGGAGGAGUUCUUCUUAAUUUCCUUUUUAUCUUUCUUAAUUGGGUUGAAUUUCUUGACACCGUUUUCAUUGGGUAUGGCAUAUGAUUUGUUCAUGCGCUUGGGUUUGUUCGCACCUUUUGGUGCAGCAUUGACUGGGGUUAUCAUUUUUUGCCCCAAAAUGUUCUAUUUGGCCGUUGAUAUGCGUUCGAUGGUUUAUGAUUUAUCCCCUCUUCGGAUUCAUUUGUUCUUAUAAGCUUUUACGUGAUUGUCCCACCCUUUUUCUUUUGCAGGUGACCAAUCCGGUGGUAUUGUUGGAUUCAACUUAGGGUUUAUGUAUGAAUGAUUUUUAUAAUUAAUAUUUUUCCCGAUCAUUUUCAUGGACUUUGGUGAAGAACGGUUUGGUACACCUCAUUCUUUUUUUAAUUUUUAUUUGGUUUAUGUUCUUGGGUGCUGAUCCACUGUUUUUUAUUUCUGCAGACUUACCUUUUGUUGAUAUUAUUUGCAUAAUAUCGAAAUUGUGUCUAUGAGUCCUACUUGGAUGGUAGCAAAGUAGCUGUAGGUCUACUUUUCUGGGCUGCCACCACUUCCUCUUUACUAGUAAGUUUCUCUCUUUUCUGAGGAAUACAACUAGAUCAUGUUACAGCUGUGUUCCAUUUGGUUAUUUUUUUAGAGGUUGUAUUUGUUUAUUUAGUUGUUAGCUAUUUGUUUCCCAAUAUGUGCCUUUCCACAUGCGUUAAUAUUUCCUGGUCCGCACUUUGCUUUUGGUUAGACAUGUACUUUCCUCCUUCAUUUAAUGCCUCUGUAUUUAUGAUGCUUUUUUGCCUGCUAUUCCUUUUUACUGAUACGUAGCUGUAAGCCUUGGUUAGCUUAGAUAGCUAUUUACGUUGUACCUUUCAUGUAGGAUACUCUGCUUUAUUCUUUUUAAUUUUUAUUAAUACUAAAUCCUUUGUUUUAAUAGAAUAUAUGAUUUAUGAUGUAUGCAAUUUUGUUUCUCACGUGUUUUGUGAAUUUUAAAGUUUAAUCUUUAUAUUUUUAAAUUAGAUUCAAAUUUCNUCGUUCCAUAUGCAAUUGCGUUGAAUGUAAGUAAGGAUUUAAUUUAAUGAUGUGUAAUGAGUUGUUUAAUUAUGGACACUUUGUAAUGUUUUGAUGAAUUUCAAACGUUUGUUUAAUUUUAACCAAAUUUCGGUUUAAUUUAAUUAUGAACAAUUGUAAAAGAUAUUGUAUUUAUCUUGUUUAUAUCCGAGUUUCAAUCUUGUAUGAAUUAUUUUGUCUUUGGAAAUGCUCUGGUUUAAUUACAGGUAAAAACUGGCCGAAUGAUGGCUUGGAAAUGUUUAGAAUUAUGCAGAACUUGCUGUCUGCAUAAUCAGUUUUCCUCGGUAGUUAACUGCAGCCGAAUUUCAAAUUCCUCGGCAGUUAACUGCCGAGGGGGCAAAAGAGUAAAAUACUCGUGUGGCACAACCUUAUGUAAAGUGUAAACAACAAUUUUUCGUUAUUAAAGUAAAAAAUGAAUGAGUUGCUUUAAAAUAAGGGUGAAUGACACAAGUUACCAAUAGCAUUUCCCUUAAAAAUAUUGUGUCACAAGACUUACAAAAUAACCAUUUAUAUCUAUACUUCUUACAAAGAGAAAUCGCAGAUUUUCGCUGUUCUAUCAACUACCAGCUGAAUCCGCCCUUCUCAGCCAUUCCUGAGUUUCAAUAGGUGCUAUUUCCACCUUUAUUUAAGGCUGUUUGGUCUAUCACUUCCUUUUCAGAGGUCACAGGCCAGCUGGUUGUGGUUAAUUUCAAAUUAACCUAUCGAUUUACUCCCUUUGGUUCAAAGAGGUGAAAAAAAACCACAUUGUGUCAGGUUUUCUGCAUUUCUCUGGUUUUUAAUUUCCUUUUCUGCAUUUCUCUGGUUAAUUUCAUGCUCUGGGUUGUAUCUAGCUCCUUAUUUUAAUUUAAUUUCAAACACAUUGGAUAUAUCCAUGUCUUGAGAUUAUAGAUGGAUAGAUGGAUAGGUCGUUUGAUUCACUGUCUGAGAUUGUUCCCGAUAGAGAUGGUUGGAGGAUUAAGGUUCGCAUUCUUAGACUUUGGGAGGUUCCAACUCUUUUGAGACCAGAUCAGACCAACUCCCUGGAAAUGGUUCUUAUUGAUGAUAAGGUUUGUGGUUUAUUUAUGUUUUUGCUUUCGUUUAUCAUUUCCAGAUUUGUAGAUUUUCAAAACUCAAUAAUUUUAUUUUGGUUGACCUAGGGUGCCAAGAUCCAUGCCAGUGUUAGGAAGCAAUUGUUGUAUGUUUUUCAGCCCAAGUUAAGCGAAGGAAAGGUUUACAAAAUGUCCUUUUUCUCGGUGGCUCCCAGCGUUGGCUCAUAUCGUACCACUCUUCAUCCGUAUAAGUUGGUUUUCCAGAUGAAAACCAAGGUUCAAGUAUCAGAGAGUGUGCUCAUUCCUACCUAUGGAGUUUCACUCAGCAAGAUUGCUGAUGUCUGUGGCCAUGAUGUGGAAUAUGAUUACUUAGUUUGUGGGAAUACUAUGUUUUGCAUCGUCCAUUAGUUUGUUGAUCUCAUUGUUUGUUGUGUUGCUAAUUAUUUAUUAUCUACUGUUUAUAUAUUUUGUCUUACUCUUGACCUUAGAUGUUAUUGGAAUGAUGACUGCCAUAGCCCCUGAAAGAGAGUAUGUUAGGGAUGGUAAGGUUACUAGGAUGGUGGUUCUUGAAUUGACUUAUGAUAGGUAAGCCGUUUUAGCCAUGUAAAUUGGACAUGUCCUCUUUUCAUGAAUUUUUUUUUUUGGGACUUCUGAGUAGUUUUUACAUUGCAGUGGAAAGUGUGAGUGUGCACUCUUUGGUGAUUAUGUUGACAUCCUUAGCAAGUUGAUGUUGAAGGUUGAGAACGGAUUGCUUGUUCUUUUGGUGCAGUUUGCAAAAGUGAAGAUCUUUCGUGGUAUAUCCCUUUAAUUUGUCUAUCUGAGGAAGCUUUUAUGUUCCUUAGUUCUCAAUUUUGCAUUGAACAUGUUCCUGAUCAUUUUAUCAAUGUUGUAGAGAAAGCUUCCCUUCAGAAUGUUAUUAAUACAACCCGCAUAGUGUUGGAUCCUCCAAUUGAAGAGACCUUGCAGAUCAGGUAGUGGUUUUUGUUUUUGUGCAAUCCAUUGUAUGUGUGUUACUAUUUCUUCUCAUUUAUUUUUGUAUCUCUUACAUAUGCUUUUAUGUUUCAGUGUUUUGGUUGUAGGUGUGAGUUUGUCCUCUCUCCCCAAACUUGAAUCACGCACGAGGGCAUCUAUUAAGGAUGAUUUCCUUACUAUGUAUCCUAGGAAGACUUUGUCCCAGCUCAUAGCUUCUCUUGAGGAUGGUUUGUUUAUUGUCUCUACGACUAUUGAUGGAUUGGUUGAUGGCGAGGAUUGGUGGUAUCCUGCCUGUAAAUGACAUAGGAGCGUUACACCUUAUUCUGGUGCCUAUUACUGCAAGGAUUAUGUUAAGCACGUUUUCCAUAUGGUUCCAAGGUGUUUACUCUUUGUUGUUUGGUUUUCCAUUCAUAAUAUCUUCAACGGUUUCUUCUUUGUUAGUGACACUUUCUUUGCAGGUACCAGGUGAAGCUUAAAGUUAGCGAUUCUCAUGCUGAUGCUGUCUUUGUUGUUUUUUACGGUGAUAUGUAGAAUUUUCUUGAUGUUCCUUGCAGUAUCCUGGUUUCUCUUCCCAAGGUUUUGUUAUUUGCUCAUCAAUUCCUAUUUGUGAUGUAAUCUGUAAAUCUGUAAUUUGCAAUAUUGGGAAUAUUUUUAAUUUCUUAUUUGUAAUACCCUUUGUGACUAUAAAUUUCAAAUAUAAAUUUUUCAAAUUUGUUGAUCAUUUUCUUUGAUGUCAUCUGCCAUCUAGGCUGAAAAUGAUGGCUGCUACCCUACUCAGUUUAACAAACUCAAGGGAAGGAAUAUGUUGUUCAUGGUUGAGAAGUGUACUGGUGCGAGUUUUAUGUUUGACGGUUCGUUCAGAGUUAAGAGGGUCUGUGACCAGCCCUCUGUUGUCGAGGCAUUUAAAUCUAUUGGCGUUGAAUGCACUCCUUCUGAGGUUAAAUUAAUUCCCUUUUUGAUGCAAUUGAUGAAAUUGCUUAGCGCUUCGUUUAAUUAGUUUAAUUUGAUUUAUGUUCAGACUGUCUCCGACGCACCCGUAACAGAUAGGAUUGUUGUGAAUCAUGUUUCCGAGUCUCUUGAUGAUUUCGACGCUGAGGAAUUUGUUUCCAACCUUAUUGUAAGCCCGAAUAGUGUGCUUGAUGUAAACCAUGAGGUUGGUUUGUCUAUAUUUUGAAUUAUGCUUUGGUCUCCAUUGUGGAUCUGUGGUAUAUUUUUGAAUUUGUCCAAUGUGUUUUUGGCAGCCCGAAGCCAACGGCCUUAGCGAUGAUGUCUACCACCUAUCAGGAGAGAACGAAGUUACUGGUGCUUUCGAAGGUGUUGGAGAUGGCGAAGGUUCAUCCGUGUCUGCUGUUGUUUUUGAGGUUGCGAGGCCCACUCGCAGAAUCCCUAGGGUUAAGAGAAGCCUUGCUCAAGCCUUUGUCAACGUUGAUUCUGAUGAUGAACCUUUGUCCAGGAAGUAUGGAAAGUCUAAGGUUGCUUGAAGCUUGGGUGUAAUGUUGGUGUGGUCUUGGAGUUUGUUGGUUUGAUAUGUAGAUGUAGAUGUGUCUGUUCUGUUGUAUUGCUAUUGGUUUUCCAUCAUGGAUUGUUUUGUGUGUAAUAAUUUGGAAAACAGUUUAUGGUUGUGUAAUAUGACAAUGAAUUGGUUCAAUGGAUGGUGGUCUAGGAACACUGUCUUCAAGCUAUAUCACUAGGACCAAGUUUCAAUUGUUGAACUUUGUAUGAAUAUUUAUGUUCUAUGUAUUAGUUUAUCUUCUAUAUUAUCAUGCAUUUUCCAAUUCAAUCCAUAUGCUAUGCUUCAUUGUUAUGUUUGAUUUUAAUAUAUUAUGUUUAGUUUGACUUAUUCUCCAAUGUUUUUUGGAGGCUUGGGGAAUUGCAGUGUUUGAAGCUGCAUUAAUGGAAAUAAUCCUAUUUUAUCAUCUAUCUUACUUAGUAAAAAACUUUUGCGUUUCUCCAUGUUGAUUAAUUUAUUUAGCUUAUAACGUGAUUUAUUUCAGUUGUUUCAUUUAAAAUUGAUUAGCUACUUCUUUAGUGUUCUCUAUCUUUAGUUUUGUAUUUUACUUUAUCCUUUGGCCGUAUUGUGCAUUUAAUUGUACAUGGUUAUUUCUAUACAUAAUAUUUUUAAUUUUUUUUGGCUUUAUAAUUGAGGUAUAAUUCUUUCAAGUUAAUAGCAUACAACGGCAAAAUGCCUACAAAUAAUAUGAUAAAACCUAAGUCACCGAAAUACUCAUGCUUCCGGAUCUGCAACGUUGACGUCCAAAUCAUUGCUUGAAUUUGUAAUUGAUUGAUAUAGAUCUUUCAAUAGGAACUGAACAAACACCGCGACAAGACACAAAAUCAAACGCCGCAUAAGACGACGAACAACAAAACGCCGCACUUAGACGACGAAAUCACAAAAAAAAAAACACAAAAGGAAAAACUUCAUAGAUGUGAAAAUCACUUAUUUAGAUUGAAAGAAAAGGGAAAAAAAAUGUUGUGGGGUGAUUCUAGGUCCAAAAAUGAUCUAAAACCACCCCUCCUCGAUGAACGAAGAAGAAAAAAAGUUUAAAGAGAAGUUGGUGUUUCUCUCCCUAGAAAACUUUGGUGCUGAUUUUUAGCAGCGACAUUUUCUUUAUUUAAUGGUUUAAUACAAUCUUGAAUUUAUUGCAUAUUUUUUUUAUCAAAGGCAUGGUUUCUUCUCUAGUAGGAUUGAUCAGAAUAAUAAUUCAACUCUUCAGCGUAUUUCAUUUUCUAUCUUUAAUUUUUGUAGUCACAUGGGCUAUUUUUGGUGGGUAUUAGAUGCUGGGCUUGAGCGUAUGGGCCUUUGAACACUAUGUGUCCUAUUCAUCGUUGUCCAUUUGGUUUUAUUUGACAUUUUCCUUCAUUUGAAGGCAUGUUUUUUCUUUUUGUCGUAUUUGGUGGAGUUUGUUAUGUUGUUCGCUUAACUUCCAAGUGUUUGGUAUCAACUCCUCACAACUUUUGUCCAUACCUAAUCAUCAAGAACUUAAUUAACACUCCUUUGUUUUUCGCGUUGCAUUCUUCUUAUGUCCAUCUAUUUUCUGUUUCGUCUGCUUAUUGGGACCCCUUCAUUGGAGGAGUUCUUCUUAAUUUCCUUUUUAUCUUUCUUAAUUGGGUUGAAUUUCUUGACACCGUUUUCAUUGGGUAUGGCAUAUGAUUUGUUCAUGCGCUUGGGUUUGUUCGCACCUUUUGGUGCAGCAUUGACUGGGGUUAUCAUUUUUUGCCCCAAAAUGUUCUAUUUGGCCGUUGAUAUGCGUUCGAUGGUUUAUGAUUUAUCCCCUCUUCGGAUUCAUUUGUUCUUAUAAGCUUUUACGUGAUUGUCCCACCCUUUUUCUUUUGCAGGUGACCAAUCCGGUGGUAUUGUUGGAUUCAACUUAGGGUUUAUGUAUGAAUGAUUUUUAUAAUUAAUAUUUUUCCCGAUCAUUUUCAUGGACUUUGGUGAAGAACGGUUUGGUACACCUCAUUCUUUUUUUAAUUUUUAUUUGGUUUAUGUUCUUGGGUGCUGAUCCACUGUUUUUUAUUUCUGCAGACUUACCUUUUGUUGAUAUUAUUUGCAUAAUAUCGAAAUUGUGUCUAUGAGUCCUACUUGGAUGGUAGCAAAGUAGCUGUAGGUCUACUUUUCUGGGCUGCCACCACUUCCUCUUUACUAGUAAGUUUCUCUCUUUUCUGAGGAAUACAACUAGAUCAUGUUACAGCUGUGUUCCAUUUGGUUAUUUUUUUAGAGGUUGUAUUUGUUUAUUUAGUUGUUAGCUAUUUGUUUCCCAAUAUGUGCCUUUCCACAUGCGUUAAUAUUUCCUGGUCCGCACUUUGCUUUUGGUUAGACAUGUACUUUCCUCCUUCAUUUAAUGCCUCUGUAUUUAUGAUGCUUUUUUGCCUGCUAUUCCUUUUUACUGAUACGUAGCUGUAAGCCUUGGUUAGCUUAGAUAGCUAUUUACGUUGUACCUUUCAUGUAGGAUACUCUGCUUUAUUCUUUUUAAUUUUUAUUAAUACUAAAUCCUUUGUUUUAAUAGAAUAUAUGAUUUAUGAUGUAUGCAAUUUUGUUUCUCACGUGUUUUGUGAAUUUUAAAGUUUAAUCUUUAUAUUUUUAAAUUAGAUUCAAAUUUCUUCCUUUCCCUCCCCAAUGUUUUUGUCUCUUUUUGUCUAUUUCUCUAUUUAUAGGUGCGUGCCCUGUGUUUUUGUAUGCCACACAUGAAUUCAGCUUUCACUCUACUUUUUUAGUUUUUGAUUUGAUCAUAAAUGUAUAAGUUUUCAGAUAUCGACGGUUUGCAUGAAUUUCUUUGUGGGAAAAGACUCAUGACCUUUGCUGAUUUCGCAACCUCAUCGGAGCGUGGGGUUUUCAUUGUUAUUGGUUGCUACCUUGGUGUCGACGAGGCUGUCGACAUAUGGAAUGAUCAUCAGUCAAAGGAUGAUGAACCGAGGUACAUUUGAUUGCGCAGGUUUAGGAUGCGUGUCAACGUAGGAGACUAUAAGAGUGAUGCCUCCUUCCUUUUGUGCGAUGAUAUGGUUAGGAAAGUUGCUCCUCAGACCUGCAAGUUGUUGGUUGACACGGCUUGUGUUUUCUUUUAUUUGAUGUGUCAUCAUUUAUUGGAUGAAUUAUUAUUUGCUUCUUUUGUUUCAACAGCUUCAUUUUGAUGUUUUUGUUCUUUACGUAGAGUUUGGGUUCUUCUAUGUAUCCUGUCGACCUUGAUUCAAUGUUCGGUGAUCCGCUCAUACUCGAGGUUGGAAGUAAAUCAGAUGAUUAUCUUGAUGGAUCUGUCUGUUACAACGUUCUCCAGGUUUUUACUCAUCCCGAUCUUCUCGAUGUAUUCCUUAACUUUAGUGACUACUUUCCUGUUGCUGAUCCUAAGGUUAUUGUUUUUGUUUUUUCGUAGAUAUUCUCUAGUUAAUACUAUCUAUGUCUUUCUCUAAGUAUCGGAAAAUUGUAUAUUUGUGGUUCAAGAUGGUUUGCAUGCCAGUCUUAUUGUAGUCUCUCCGGUUGACCAUGAUUUUCCGGUGGUCAUCAAUGAUGUUGAGGUUGUUGAUGAUGUUCAUGCCAGGAACAAUGAUUCAGACUGCAAGUUAAUGUCCAAGAAAGGUUAUGGCCGUAAAUGGAAGCGUGGUCAAAGAUCUUAUGAAGUUGUCGGGGACAACUUCUCAAUGCUGAAGAGGGUUGUCAGGGCAAGACGUGGGUAGUUUGUAUGAUUGUUUGUUCUGUUUGAAUAAUCUGUUGUCGUGUUUCUUUGCUGAAUUGUAGUAGUGUUCGAUGGUGUAGGGUUGUAUUGGUUUUGUUGUACCGAACCUUUCUUUUGGCAGCAUUUUCCUAAUGUUCCUUUUGUGUUUGUAGAUCCAUAUGGUUGGAAGUUUACGUAUAUGUAAACACCCUCUUGCUGACCUCCUUUGUCAUCGUGUAUCUUUUAUCAUCAAAGUAAUGUUUUGUUUUAUGUCCCAACCAUUAAAUCUUUUGUAUUCUCAUUUUUCUCUCUCUCUUCAUGUUCUUAUAUUAAACAAAGACUUUGUGUUAUAAUGGAUCCUAAUAUUAGCCUAUGAAUAUAUCAUAGUUUCAAUUUUCGUUUUUGUUAUUGAUAAAAGUAAUUUAUUUAUUUUUAUAACUUUUUCAAGAAACCUUGCAUCAUUUAACUAAGCUAUUCGAUAUCAUUCAUUUAACCUUCACCUCUGUGAUGAAUAUAUUUCAGAAUUAUUUUAUUUCAAUUAAUCAGUCUCAAAUAUCCUUUCGUGUUACAACAUUUAUUUUUAGUUCGUUGUUCUUUAUCACCGUCUAAUGUGUUUUUUUACUCUUCUUUUAAAAUCGUUAUUUUCCUUCCGCUGAGUAAUUACUAGAUAUUGUUAAGUUAUCUCGGUCGUUUCAAUGAGAUAUGUUCAUAAAAUUGUGGCAAAUGUUUUUUAGUCAUGUUAAAAUCUCAGUGUUUAUGAAUUAAUUUAAAAUAAAGGAAUUUAUUUUUUUUUUCUUUGUUUAUUUGCGUUUAGUUUAGUUUGCGUUUUCCGUACAAAACAGGCUAAUGUUAAAGAAAGAAGAAAUAAUAUGCAUUGGUAUAGACUUUAUCAAAAUAUUUAAGGGGAUUUUGUGUGAUGUUAACUUAGUUAAAAUAGUAAUCUUCUAAAUUUCAAUAUUUUCUCCAUCCCUAAGAUGUCAAUGCAAUCAAUCAAAUUCAUUAAUGGGUUUGGUUUUAGAUGUAAUUUUUAUGAGGUCUGAGCUUAUGCACUCAUCACUCAUUGCAGUACACGUUUUUUCCAUAUAUAUAUAUAUAUAUUUCCAAUCAGUCUUAAUUUUUUUUACUACCCAUCUUUCGUUGCUACAGUUGCUGUAAUAAAUGCUCUCACCUACAAAAGGUAUAGAUAUGUAUUGGUUAAUAUUUUAUUUUUACUGUACUUGAUAUAAUUUCCUUUUUGAAUCCGCUUUGCCUCUGCACACAUCUAUCUUUUUCUUUAUAAAUACGGCAUUCCUCAUCUAUUAGAAAGACACCAAGCAACGAAAAGUCUCCUCUAAUAGAGCAAUAUUAUUUAAACAUGGUAUUUAUUCCAACAGUUUCUGUUUAGUAAACUCUUAAUCAUGUUACUGUUUUAGAAAAUUAUCCAGUUAUUAUAGUCACCCUAUUACUAACUUCUCUCAAUACUCUCAUAACAAAUAAAAAUGAUUAUACCGUUUACCUCUUUGGCUGCUUCGAAAAUUGGUAGGAUGGACUGGAGGGUGAGGGUUAGGGUCAUAAGAAUGUGGACUGUUGAGAGUGAGAUUUUUUCUGGGAGGGUCAACUCAAUGGAACUCAUUCUUCUUGAUGUGGAGGUGAGUUUAUUUGAUAUUUACUCAUACUUAAAUAUAUUAGUUCGUCUUUACGUCUGUUCAUAUAUUUAUAUUUAUUUCAAGAUUUUUGCAUCUUUUCUUUGAUACACUAAGCCUUUAUGUUUGAUGUGCAUGGUUUUGAAAAGGUUGAAUGUUUUGUACAUGGAAAUAUUAUGUGGAUCUUAUCAGUGUUGUAUCUGUUUUGUACAGCAACAUCAUCCACGCUACCAUUCCAUCUCACUGUGUUGGACGUUUCAGGUUGUCUUUUAGGGAACUAUCAGUUCAUGUACUCACUGUGUUUCAUGUGACUGAGAGUAUCAACUCUUUCCAAGGUUUUGUUAUUUUGUCAUCCUUUCCUAUUUGUGAUGUAAUCUGUAAAUCUGUAAUUUGCAAUAUUGGGAAUAUUUUUAAUUUCUUAUUUGUAAUACCCUUUGUGACUAUAAAUUUCAAAUAUAAAUUUUUCAAAUUUGUUGAUCAUUUUAUUUGAUGUCAUCUGCCAUCUAGGCUGGAAAUGAUGACUUCUACCCUACUUAGUUUAACAAACUCAAGGGAAGGAAGAUGUUGUUCAAGGUUCAGAAGUGUACUACUGCGAGUUGUAUAUUUGACGGUUCGUUCAGAGUUAAGAGGGUCUGUGACCAGCCCUCUGUUGUCGAGGCAUUUAACUCUAUUGGUGUUGAAUGCACUCCUUCUGAGGUUAAAUUAAUUCCCUUUUUGAUGCAAUUGAUGAAAUUGUUUAGAGCUUCGUUUAAUUAGUUUAAUUUGAUUUAUGUUGAAGCUGUCUCCGACGCACCCGUAACUGAUAGCGUUGUUGUGAAUCAUGUUUCCAAGUCUGUUGAUGAUUCUGAUGAUGAGGAGUUUGUUUCCAACCUUAUUGUAAGCCCAAAUAGCGUGCUUGAUGUGAAUCAUGAGGUUGGUUUGUCUAUGUUUUGAAUUAUGCUUUGGUCUCCGUUGUGGAUCUAUGGUACAUUUUUGAAUUUUAGAAAUUUGUCCAUUGUGUUUUUGGCAGCCUGAAGCCAACGGCCUUAGCGAUGAUGUCUACCACCUAUCAGGCGAGAACGAAGUUGCUGGUGCUUUCGAAGGUGUUGGCGAUGGCAAAGGUUCUUCCGUGUCUGCUGUUGUUUAUGAGGUUGCGAGGCCCACCCGCAGAAUCCCUAGGGUUAAGAGUAGCCUUGCUCAAGCCUUUCUCAACGUUGAUUCUGAUGAUGAACCUUUGUCCUUGAAGCUUGGGUGUAAUGCUGGUGUGGUGUUGGAGUUUGUUUGUUUGAUAUGUAGAUGUGUCUGUUCUGUUGUAUUCAUGUUGGUUUUCCAUCAUGGAUUGUUUUGUGUGUAAUAAUUUGGAAAACAGUUUAUGGUUGUGUAAUAUGACAAUGAAUUAGUUCGAUGGAUGGUGGUCUAGGAACACUGUCUUCAAGCUAUAUCACUAGGACCAAGUUUCAAUUGUUGAACUUUGUAUGAAUAUUUAUGUUCUAUGUAUCAGUUUAUCUUCUAUAUUAUCGUG
rnacentral:lncRNA from 1 species